GUGGGGGAUAUUGCACAAUGGGGGAAACCCUGAUGCAGCGACGCCGCGUGAAGGAAGACGUACUUCGGUAUGUAAACUUCUAUCAGCAGGGAAGAAGAUGACGGUACCUGACUAAGAAGCCCCGGCUAACUACGUGCCAGCAGUCGCGGUAAUACGUAGGGGGCAAGCGUUAUCCGGAUUUACUGGGUGUAAAGGGAGCGUAGACGGUGAAGCAAGUCUGAUGUGAAAACCCGGGGCUCAACUCCGGGAUUGCAUUGUAAACUGUUUUACUUGAGUGCUGGAGGGGCAAGCGGAAUUCCUGUUGUAGCGGUGAAAUGCGUAGAUAUCAGGAAGAACACCGGUGGCGAAGGCGGCUUGCUGGACAGUAACUGACGUUGAGGCUCGAAAGCGUGGGGAGCAAACAGGAUUAGAAACCCGGGUAGUCC
rnacentral:rRNA from 1 species